CACACCGCCCGUCACACCAUGGGAGUUGGAUUGCACCAGAAGUAGGUAGCCUAACCGCAAGGAGGCGCUUACCACGGUGUGGUCAAUGACUGGGGUG
rnacentral:rRNA from 1 species